GACGAACGCUGGCGGCGUGCUUAACACAUGCAAGUCGAACGGAAAGGCCCUGCUUUUGUGGGGUGCUCGAGUGGCGAACGGGUGAGUAACACGUGAGUAACCUGCCCUUGACUUUGGGAUAACUUCAGGAAACUGGGGCUAAUACCGGAUAGGAGCUCCUGCUGCAUGGUGGGGGUUGGAGAGUUUCGGCGGUUGGGGAUGGACUCGCGGCUUAUCAGCUUGUUGGUGGGGUAGUGGCUUACCAAGGCUUUGACGGGUAGCCGGCCUGAGAGGGUGACCGGCCACAUUGGGACUGAGAUACGGCCCAGACUCCUAGGGGAGGCAGAAGUGGGGAAUAUUGCACAAUGGGCGGAAGCCUGAUGAAGCAACGCCGCGUGCGGGAUGACGGCCUUCGGGUUGUAAACCGCUUUCGCCUGUGACGAAGCGUGAGUGACGGUAAUGGGUAAAGAAGCACCGGCUAACUACGUG
rnacentral:rRNA from 1 species